UACGUAGGGACCAAGCGUUGUUCGGAUUUACUGGGCGUAAAGGGCGCGUAGGCGGCAUGACAAGUCACUUGUGAAAUCUCCGGGCUUAACUCGGAACGGCCAAGUGAUACUGUCACGCUAGAGUGCAGAAAGGGCAAUCGGAAUUCUUGGUGUAGCGGUGAAAUGCGUAGAUAUCAGGAGGAACACCGAUGGCGAAGGCAGGUCUCUGGGCAUUAACUGACGCUGAGGAGCGAAAGCAUGGGGAGCGAACAGG
rnacentral:rRNA from 1 species